GAUGAAGAACGUAGCGAAAUGCGAUAAGUAAUGCGAAUUGCAGAAUUCAGUGAAUCAUCGAGUCUUUGAACGCACAUUGCGCCCCCUGGUAUUCCGGGGGGCAUGCCUGUCCGAGCGUCAUUGCUGCCCUCAAGCACGGCUUGUGUGUUGGGCCUCCGUCCUCCUCCCGGGGGACGGGCCCGAAAGGCAGCGGCGGCACCGCGUCCGGUCCUCGAGCGUAUGGGGCUUCGUCACCCGCUCUUGUAGGCCCGGCCGGCGCUUGCCGACACAUCAAUCUUUUUUCCAGGUUGACCUCGGAUCAGGUAGGGAUACCCGCUGAACUUAAGCAUAUCAAUAAGCGGACGA
rnacentral:misc_RNA from 1 species